UGGGGCGAGUGUGUGAGAGGCUAACGAGGUCUGGGUACAACCGUGAGAAGAGGAUCGGGCAGGUGUAACAAUGUGUCCCGGCUCUCUAUGCUGCGGACUGAUAUUUCCUGGAAACUCACUUUAGGUACAGUUACUUACCCCCGGGGCGUUGUUGUUGCUGCUGCUGUUGCUGCGCACCGUGUCGUCAAACAGUUACAGUUGGAUGUUUCGGUUGGAAGCGACCGUUGGAGACUUUCUCCCAAA